rnacentral:rRNA from 1 species
ACGGAAGGCAGCAGUGGGGAAUAUUGCACAAUGGGGGAAACCCUGAUGCAGCGACGCCGCGUGAGUGAAGAAGUUAUUCGUAAUGUAAAGCUCUAUCAGCAGGGAAGAAAAUGACGGUACCUGACUAAGAAGCCCCGGCUAACUACGUGCCAGCAGCCGCGGUAAUACGUAGGGGGCAAGCGUUAUCCGGAUUUACUGGGUGUAAAGGGAGCGUAGACGGUCUGGCAAGUCUGAUGUGAAAGGCAGGGGCUCAACUCCUGGACUGCAUUGGAAACUGUCAGUCUUGAGUGCCGGAGAGGUAAGCGGAAUUCCUAGUGUAGCGGUGAAAUGCGUAGAUAUUAGGAGGAACACCAGUGGCGAAGGCGGCUUACUGGACGAUAACUGACGUUGAGGCUCGAAAGCGUGGGGAGCAAACAGGAUUAGAUACCCUGGUA